AAAGUCCCACCUGCUCUCAGUUAACCUUCUGAUGGGCAGUAGUGAACUCCACACGCAUCUCAGUGAUGCGUUGUGUGAAGCUGGAGGAAUCAAGGAUUCAGGCCGCGCUAUUGAGCCUCGAAAAAGAGUUUGUAUUUGUGGUCUGUUAAGAUAAUCUGUUGAUUUUUUUUAUCAAUAGAGAAAGCCGACACUGUGGCAGCUGUGGAAGGCUAAAGUCUGGAAGUCGUUCUGGUUAGGUUUUCAGACACCACCGUGGUCUUAGAACG
rfam:Candidatus Magnetomorum sp. HK-1 HK1c2402, whole genome shotgun sequence.